rnacentral:pre_miRNA from 1 species
CCUAGUCCCUGAGACCCUAACUUGUGAGGUAUUUCAGGAACAUCACAAGUCAGGCUCUUGGGACCUAGGC